UACGAAGGGGGCUAGUGUUGCUCGGAAUCACUGGGCGUAAAGCGCACGUAGGCGGCUUUCUAAGUCAGGGGUGAAAUCCUGGAGCUCAACUCCAGAACUGCCUUUGAUACUGGAGAGCUUGAGUCCGGAAGAGGUGAGUGGAACUCCGAGUGUAGAGGUGAAAUUCGUAGAUAUUCGGAAGAACACCAGUGGCGAAGGCGGCUCACUGGUCCGGUACUGACGCUGAGGUGCGAAAGCGUGGGGAGCAAGCAGG
rnacentral:rRNA from 1 species